AUACAGUUGUGCUCAAAUGUUUGCAUUCCCUGACAGAAAUUGUGAAAUUUUGACAUUGAUUUUGAAAAUAUGACUGAUCAUGCAAAAAAUGUAUUUUAUUGAAGGAUGGUGAUCAUAUGAAGUCAUUUAUUAUCAUCUAGUUGUUCGGCUCUUUUUUAAAUCAUACUGAUAACAGAAAUCAGUAGCCCUGAUCAAAAGUUGACAUAAACUUGAAUGCUUGGCCUUGUUACAGACACACAAGGUGACACACACAGGUUAAAAUGGCAAUUAAAGGUUAAUUUCUUACACCUGUGGCUUUUUAAAUCGCAAUUAGUGUUUGUGUAGAAAUAGUCAAUGAGUUUGUUAGCUCUCACAUGG